CCUACGGGAGGCAGCAGUGGGGAAUAUUGGGCAAUGGGCGCAAGCCUGACCCAGCAACGCCGCGUGAAGGAAGAAGGCUUUCUGGUUGUAAACUUCUUUUCUCAGGGACGAAACAAGUGACGGUACCUGAGGAAUAAGCCACGGCUAACUACGUGCCAGCAGCCGCGUCAAUACGUAGGUGGCAAGCGUUAUCCGGAUUUACUGGGUGUAAAGGGCGUGUAGGCGGGGACGCAAGUCAGAUGUGAAAACCACGGGCUCAACCUGUGGCCUGCAUUUGAAACUGUGUUUCUUGAGUACUGGAGAGGCAGACGGAAUGCCUAGUGUAGCGGUGAAAUGCGUAGAUAUUAGGAGGAACACCAGUGGCGAAGGCGGUCUGCUGGACAGCAACUGACGCUGAGGCGCGAAAGCGUGGGGAGCAAACAGGAUUAGAUACCCCGGUAGUC
rnacentral:rRNA from 1 species